rnacentral:rRNA from 1 species
UACAGAGGUCUCAAGCGUUGUUCGGAUUCAUUGGGCGUAAAGGGUGCGUAGGUGGCGCUGUAAGUCGGGUGUGAAAUUUCGGAGCUUAACUCCGAAACUGCAUUCGAUACUGCGGGGCUUGAGGACUGGAGAGGAGACUGGAAUUCAUGGUGUAGCAGUGAAAUGCGUAGAGAUCAUGAGGAAGACCAGUGGCGAAGGCGGGUCUCUGGACAGUUCCUGACGCUGAGGCACGAAGGCCAGGGGAGCAAACGGG